rnacentral:SRP_RNA from 1 species
CGCUAUGCCGAUCGGGUGUCCGCACUAAGUUCGGCAUCAAUAUGGUGACCUCCCGGGAGCGGGGGACCACCAGGUUGCCUAAGGAGGGGUGAACCGGCCCAGGUCGGAAACGGAGCAGGUCAAAACUCCCGUGCUGAUCAGUAGUGGGAUCGCGCCUGUGAAUAGCC